rnacentral:rRNA from 1 species
CAAGUCGGACGGGAUUGGAGAGCUUGCUUUCCAUGAGAGUGGCGCACGGGUGCGUAACACGUAUGUAACCUACCUUAGUCAGGGGGAUAGCCUCUCGAAAGAGAGAUUAACACCGCAUAACAUUAUGAUAUGGCAUCAUAUUAUAAUCAAAUAUUUAUAGGACUAAGAUGGGCAUGCGGAACAUUAGCUAGUUGGUAAGGUAACGGCUCACCAAGGCUACGAUGUUUAGGGGAUCUGAGAGGAUGACCCCCCACACUGGUACUGAGACACGGACCAGACUCCUACGGGAGGCAGCAGUAAGGAAUAUUGGUCAAUGGACGCAAGUCUGAACCAGCCAUGCCGCGUGCAGGAAGACGGCCCUACGGGUUGUAAACUGCUUUUGUACCGGAAUAAACCUUUCCUCGUGAGGGAAGCUGAAUGUACGGUAAGAAUAAGGAUCGGCUAACUCCGUGCCAGCAGCCGCGGUAAUACGGAGGAUCCAAGCGUUAUCCGGAUUUAUUGGGUUUAAAGGGUGCGUAGGCGGCCUAUUAAGUCAGGGGUGAAAGACGGUAGCUUAACUAUCGCAGUGCCUUUGAUACUGAUGGGCUUGAAUGUACUUGAGGUAGGCGGAAUGUGACAAGUAGCGGUGAAAUGCAUAGAUAUGUCACAGAACACCAAUUGCGAAGGCAGCUUACUAAAGUAUGAUUGACGCUGAGGCACGAAAGCGUGGGGAUCAAACAGGAUUAGAUACCCUGGUAGUCCACGCCCUAAACGAUGAACACUCGGUGUUGGCGAUAUACGGUCAGCGUCUA